rnacentral:lncRNA from 1 species
CGUGUUUUAUAGAUUUGCAAAUGAUACUUGUCCACACAUGAACAUGUUGAAGCUGGUUAUAAGGUUUCAAUACAUAUGCGUACAAUCGUUCUUUAAGUUUUUGAACAUACGUGUUGAAGUUUUGAUAACAAGAAAAAGAUGUGGUAUGAUUGGGGAUGAGACAACUCAUCGCAAGAAAUAAAAUGACACAGAAGUUUUCACCAUAAGUCACCCCACGGCCUUCAACAGUGAGUAAUGAACAUACCACAGUCAUUAUUUCAUAAAUUAUCUCAUACAAUAUGUUAAACAGACAAUUUGUUAAAAAAAAUCGUAAAGGUUCCGCGAAACCCAGUGUCUCGCCUAUUCUUUCUGUUAAUCGCAUGCUCAACAA